AUUACCUUCAGGAAGCCCGAACACCCCAAAUAUAUUUUUUUUCAUUUUUCAUUUUUAUUUGGUCUAACUAACUCCAAAAGGUUGGAAAAGAGUUCCUACAAAGGUUUUGGACAGUGAUUUUAACCCUAACGCCAAAAACCUUAAACCUUACCAUAGCCCCAAAACUUAUACCCGGGUAUUACCUUCAGGAAGCCCGAACACCCCAAAUAUAUUUUUUUUAUUUUUUUUUUUUAUUUGGUGUAACCAACUCCAAAAGGUCUGAAACAUGUUCCUAAAUAGGUUUUGGACAGUGAUUUUAACCCUAACGCCAAAAACCUUAAACCUUCCCCUAGCCCCAAAACCUAAUACCCGGGUAUUACCUUCAGGAAUCCCGAAAACCCCAAAUAUUUUUUUUUCAUUUUUCAUUUCUUUUUGGUCUAACUAACUCCCAAAGCUUGGAAAAUAGUUCCUACAAAGGUUUUGGACAGUGAUUUUAACCCUAACGCCAAAAACCUUAAACCUUACCCUAGCCCCAAAACCUAAUACCCGUGCAUUAUCUUCAGGAAGCCAAAACAAGCCAAAUAUUUUUUUUUCAUUUUUCAUUUUUAUUUGGUCUAACUAACUCCAAAUGGUUGGAAAAGAGUUCCUACAAAGGUUUUGGACAGUGAUUUUAACCCUAACGCCAAAAACCUUAAACCUUUCCCUAGCCCCAAAACCUAAUACCCAUGUAUUAUCUUCAGGAAGCCCGAACACCACAAAUAUUUUUUUUUCAUUUUUCAUUUCUUUUUGGUCUAACUAACUCCAAAAGGUUGGAAAAGAGUUCCUACAAACGUUUUGGACAGUGAUUUAAACCCUAACGCCAAAACCUUAAACCUUACCCUAGCCCCAAAUCUUAAUACCCGGGUAUUACCUUCAGGAAGCCAAAACACCCCAAAUAUUUUUUUUUCAUUUUUCAUUUUUAUUUGGUCUAACUAACUCCAAAAGGUUGGAAAACAGUUCCUACAAAGGUUUUGGACAGUGAUUUAAACCCUAACGCCAAAACCUUAAACCUUAACCUAGCCCCAACUCUUAAUACCCGGGUAUUACCUUCAGGAAGCCCAAACACCCCAAAUAUAUAUUUUUUCAUUUUUAAUUUUUAUUUGGUCUAACUAACUCCAAAAGGUUGGAAAACAGUUCCUACAAAGGUUUUGGACAGUGAUUUAAACCCUAACGCCAAAACCUUAAACCUUACCCUAGCCCCAACUUUUAAUACCCGGGUAUUACCUUCAGGAAGCCAAAACACCCCAAAUAUUUUUUUUUUCAUUUUUCAUUUUUAUUUGGUCUAACUAACUCCAAAAGGUUGGAAAAGAGUUCCUACAAAGGUUUUGGACAGUGAUUUUAACCCUAACGCCAAAAACCUUAAACCUUACCAUAGCCCCAAAACUUAAUACCCGGGUAUUACCUUCAGGAAGCCCGAACACCCCAAAUAUUUUUUUAUUUUUUAUUUUUAUUUGGUGUAACCAACUCCAAAAGGUCUGAAACAUGUUCCUAAAUAGGUUUUGGACAGUCAUUUUAACCCUAACGCCAAAAACCUUAAACCUUACCCUAGCCCCAAAACCUAAUAUUAUUAAAGUAUUACCUUCAGGAAGCCCGAAAACCCCAAAUAUUUUUUUUUCAUCUUUCUUUUUUUUGGUCUAACUAACUCCAAAAGGUUGGAAAAUAGUUCCUACAAAGGUUUUGGACAGUGAUUUUAACCCUAACGCCAAAAACCUUAAACCUUCCCCUAGCCCCUAAACCUAAUACCUGGGUAUUACCUUCAGGAAGCCCAAACACCCCAAAUAUUUUUUUUUUAUUUUUUAUUUUUAUUUGGUGUAACCAACUCCAAAAGGUCUGAAACAUGUUCCUAAAUAGGUUUUGGACAGUCAUUUUAACCCUAACGCCAAAAACCUUAAACCUUCCCCUAGCCCCAAAACCUAAUACCCGGGUAUUACCUUCAGGAAUCCCGAAAACCCCAAAUAUUUUUUUUUCAUUUUUCAUUAUUUUUUGGUCUAACUAACUCCAAAAGGUUGGAAAAGAGUUCCUACAAAUGUUUUGGACAGUGAUUUAAACCCUAACGCCAAAACCUUUAACCUUACCCUAGCCCCAAAUCUUAAUACCCGGGUAUUACCUUCAGGAAGCCCAAACACCCCAAAUAUUUUUUUUUCAUUUUUCAUUUUUAUUUGGUCUAACUAACUCCCAAAGGUUAGAAAACAGUUCCUACAAAGGUUUUGGACAGUGAUUUAAACCCUAACGCCAAAACCUUAAACCUUACCCUAGCCCCAACUCUUAAAACCCGGGUAUUACCUUCAGGAAGCCCAAACACCCCAAAUAUAUUUUUUUUCAUUUUUCAUUUUUAUUUGGUGUAACUAACUCCAAAAGGUUGGAAAAGAGUUCCUACAAAGGUUUUGGACAGUGAUUUAAACCCUAACGCCAAAACCUUAAACCUUACCAUAGCCCCAAAACUUAUACCCGGGUAUUACCUUCAGGAGGCCCGAACACCCCAAAUAUAUUUUUUUUAUUUUUUAUUUUUAUUUGGUGUAACCAACUCCAAAAGGUCUGAAACAUGUUCCUAAAUAGGUUUUGGACAGUCAUUUUAACCCUAACGCCAAAAACCUUAAACCUUCCCCUAGCCCCAAAACCUAAUACCCGGGUAUUACCUUCAGGAAUCCCGAAAACCCCAAAUAUUUUUUUUUCAUUUUUCAUUUCUUUUUGGUCUAACUAACUCCCAAAGCUUGGAAAAUAGUUCCUACAAAGGUUUUGGACAGUGAUUUAAACCCUAACGCCAAAAACCUUAAACCUUACCCUAGCCCCAAAACCUAAUACCCGUGCAUUAUCUUCAGGAAGCCAAAACAAGCCAAAUAUUUUUUUUUCAUUUUUCAUUUUUAUUUGGUCUAACUAACUCCAAAUGGUUGGAAAAGAGUUCCUACAAAGGUUUUGGACAGUGAUUUUAACCCUAACGCCAAAAACCUUAAACCUUUCCCUAGCCCCAAAACCUAAUACCCAUGUAUUAUCUUCAGGAAGCCCGAACACCACAAAUAUUUUUUUUUCAUUUUUCAUUUCUUUUUGGUCUAACUAACUCCAAAAGGUUGGAAAAGAGUUCCUACAAACGUUUUGGACAGUGAUUUAAACCCUAACGCCAAAACCUUAAACCUUACCCUAGUCCCAAAUCUUAAUACCCGGGUAUAACCUUCAGGAAACCAAAACACCCCAAAUAUUUUUUUUUCAUUUUUCAUUUUUAUUUGGUCUAACUAACUCCAAAAGGUUGGAAAACAGUUCCUACAAAGGUUUUGGACAGUGAUUUAAACCCUAACGCCAAAACCUUAAACCUUAACCUACCCCCAACUCUUAAUACCCGGGUAUUACCUUCAGGAAGCCCAAACACCCCAAAUAUAUAUUUUUUCAUUUUUAAUUUUUAUUUGGUCUAACUAACUCCAAAAGGUUGGAAAACAGUUCCUACAAAGGUUUUGGACAGUGAUUUAAACCCUAACGCCAAAACCUUAAACCUUACCCUAGCCCCAACUCUUAAUACCCGGGUAUUACCUUCAGGAAGCCAAAACACCCCAAAUAUUUUUUUUUUUCAUUUUUCAUUUUUAUUUGGUCUAACUAACUCCAAAAGGUUGGAAAAGAGUUCCUACAAAGGUUUUGGACAGUGAUUUUAACCCUAACGCCAAAAACCUUAAACCUUACCAUAGCCCCAAAACUUAUACCCGGGUAUUACCUUCAGGAAGCCCGAACACCCCAAAUAUUUUUUUUUUAUUUUUUAUUUUUAUUUGGUGUAACCAACUCCAAAAGGUCUGAAACAUGUUCCUAAAUAGGUUUUGGACAGUCAUUUUAACCCUAACGCCAAAAACCUUAAACCUUACCCUAGCCCCAAAACCUAAUACCCGUGCAUUAUCUUCAGGAAGCCAAAACAAGCCAAAUAUUUUUUUUUCAUUUUUCAUUUUUAUUUGGUCUAACUAACUCCAAAUGGUUGGAAAAGAGUUCCUACAAAGGUUUUGGACAGUGAUUUUAACCCUAACGCCAAAAACCUUAAACCUUUCCCUAGCCCCAAAACCUAAUACCCAUGUAUUAUCUUCAGGAAGCCCGAACACCACAAAUAUUUUUUUUUCAUUUUUCAUUUCUUUUUGGUCUAACUAACUCCAAAAGCUUGGAAAAUAGUUCCUACAAACGUUUUGGACAGUGAUUUAAACCCUUACGCCAUAACCUUAAACCUUACCCCAGCCCCAAAUCUUAAUACCCGGGUAUUACCUUCAGGAAGCCCAAACACCCCAAAUAUUUUUUUUUCAUUUUUCAUUUCUUUUUGGUCUAACUAACUCCAAAAGGUUGGAAAACAGUUCCUGCAAACGUUUUGGACAGUGAUUUAAACCCUUUCGCCAAAACCUUAAACCUUACCCCAGCCCCAAAUAUUACCUUCAGGAAGCCCAAACACCCCAAAUAUUUUUUUUUCAUUUUUCAUUUUUAUUUGGUCUAACUAACUCCAAAAGCUUGGAAAAUAGUUCCUACAAACGUUUUGGACAGUGAUUUAAACCCUAACGCCAAAACCUUAAACCUUACCCCAGCCCCAAAUCUUAAUAACCGGGUAUUACCUUCAGGAAGCCCAAACACCCCAAAUAUUUUUUUUUCAUUUUUCAUUUUUAUUUGGUCUAACUAAAACCAAAUGGUUGGAAAAGAGUUCCUACAAAGGUUUUGGACAGUGAUUUUAACCCUAACGCCAAAAACCUUAAACCUUCCCCUAGCCCCAAAACCUAAUACCCGGGUAUUACCUUCAGGAAGCCCGAAAACCCCAAAUAUUUUUUUUUCAUUUUUCAUUUCUUUUUGGUCUAACUAACUCCCAAAGCUUGGAAAAUAGUUCCUACAAAGUUUUUGGACAGUGAUUUUAACCCUAACGCCAAAAACCUUAAACCUUACCCUAGCCCCAAAACCUAAUACCCGUGCAUUAUCUUCAGGAAGCCCAAACAAGCCAAAUAUCUUUUUUUCAUUUUUCAUUUUUAUUUGGUCUAACUAACUCCAAAUGGUUGGAAAAGAGUUCCUACAAAGGUUUUGGACAGUGAUUUUAACCCUAACGCCAAAAACCUUAAACCUUUCCCUAGCCCCAAAACCUAAUACCCGUGUAUUACCUUCAGGAAGCCCAAACACCCCAAAUAUUUUUUUUUCAUUUUUCAUUUUUAUUUGGUCUAACUAACUCCCAAAGGUUGGAAAACAGUUCCUACAAAGGUUUUGGACAGUGAUUUAAACCCUAACGCCAAAACCUUAAACCUUACCCUAGCCCCAACUCUUAAUACCUGUGCAUUAUCUUCAGGAAGCCCAAACACCCCAAAUAUUUUUUUUUUCAUUUUUCAUUUUUAUUUGGUCUAACUAACUCCAAAAGGUUGGAAAAGAGUUCCUACAAAGGUUUUGGACAGUGAUUUUAACCCUAACGCCAAAAACCUUAAACCUUACCAUCGCCCCAAAACUCCUGGGUAUUACCUUCAGGAAGCCUGAACACCCCAAAUAUUUUUUUUCAAUUUUUUUAUUUCAUUUGGUGUAACCAACUCCAAAAGGUCUGAAACAUGUUCCUAAAUAGGUUUUGGACAGUCAUUUUAACCCUAACGCCAAAAACCUAAAACCUUCCCCUAGCCCCAAAACCUAAUACCCGGGUAUUACCUUCAGGAAGCCCGAAAACCCCAAAUAUUUUUUUUUCAUUUUUCAUUUCUUUUUGGUCUAACUAACUCCCAAAGCUUGGAAAAUAGUUCCUACAAAGGUUUUGGACAGUGAUUUUAACCCUAACGCCAAAAACCUUAAACCUUACCCUAGCCCCAAAACCUAAUACCCGUGCAUUAUCUUCAGGAAGCCAAAACAAGCAAAAUAUUUUUUUUUCAUUUUUCAUUUUUAUUUGGUCUAACUAACUCCAAAUGGUUGGAAAAGAGUUCCUACAAAGGUUUUGGACAGUGAUUUUAACCCUAACGCCAAAAACCUUAAACCUUUCCCUAGCCCCAAAAUCUAAUACCCGUGUAUUAUCUUCAGGAAGCCCGAACACCACAAAUAUUUUUUUUUCAUUUUUCAUUUCUUUUUGGUCUAACUAACUCCAAAAGCUUGGAAAAUAGUUCCUACAAACGUUUUGGACAGUGAUUUAAAUCCUAACGCCAAAACCUUAAACCUUACCCUAGCACCAAAUCUUAAUACCCAGGUAUUACCUUCAGGAAGCCCAAACACCCCAAAUAUUUUUUUUUCAUUUUUCAUUUUUAAUUUGGUCUAACUAACUCCAAAAGGUUGGAAAACAGUUCCUACAAAGGUUUUGGACAGUGAUUUAAACCCUAACGCCAAAACCUUAAACCUUACCCUAGCCCCAAGUCUUAAUACCCGGGUAUUACCUUCAGGAAGCCCCAACACCCCAAAUAUAUUUUUUUUCAUUUUUCAUUUUUAUUUGGUCUAACUCCAAAAGGUUGGAAAAGAGAUCCUACAAAGGUUUUGGACAGUGAUUUUAACCCUAACGCCCAAAACCUUAAACCUUACCAUAGCCCCAUAACCUAAUACCCGGGUAUUACCUUCAGGAAGCCCGAACACCCCAAAUAUUUUUUUUUCAUUUUUCUUUUUUUUUGGUCUAACUAACUCCAAAAGCUUGGAAAAGAGAUCCUACAAAGGUUUUGGACAGUGAUUUUAACCCUAACGCCAAAAACCUUAAACCUUACCAUAGCCCCAUAACCUAAUACCCGUGCA
rnacentral:lncRNA from 1 species